AACGAAACCCUCAGGGUUUCCGUUAGGAUGGAAUGGAAAAUAUCCCGCUGUACAACGUGACGUGACGGUAGGGAGUAGGCUACAGGAUUGGAGGAUUCUAAAUUGUUUACCUUCAAGAGACAACUUUUUUCCAAUAUUUCUGUAAAUCAGUUAUAUUUAUUCCCAUAGUAAUUCGUUAUGGAUCCAUAACUAAAUCAACCUCUGCAAUUUGAAAGAGUAUUAUUUUACGAAAUGUGUUUAUUUGUUUAGUAGGCAACUGUGCAGUCUACAAUACAUACUGUAGUAAACAUGGGAAAGUGCCUAAUUCCUUACAUAAGGGAAAGCAGGCUAUGUCUGUACUACAGAAUGCAGGGCACGCGGGAGAUCGGUGUUAUUUCGUAGUUGUGAUGUCUUCGCUAUUAUUUUACAAUGUAGAAAAUAGUAAAAAUAACAAUACUGGAAUGAGUAGGCGUGUCCAAAACUUCUGACUGGUACUUGCUUAAUUCAUUUGAUUAAUAUUACGGUGAUUCUAUUCUAUGAAAAAUGAAAAACCCUCUGGGUUUCCAUUAGGAUGGAACAGAAAAUAUGGCGCUGUACAAUGCCCAUAAAUUCUGAGCAUUGUCAGUUUGUAAAUUCAGACUGUUGAGCUCUCAGUGCGCACACUGGACGUUCAGGCCAAUGAGUAGUGUUGAUUUGAGCAUUCUGGCCUUACAACGGCAGUCAAGCACUCAAGCUAACGUUGGCUAGCUACUUCCAGACACAAAUUUACUUGCUCAAGCAGAGCUAGUCAGGCAGUUUUCGUGUUACCCGGAGCAUUGGUGACUGUGCUGCUGGAAACAAUUUAAUUACGCAUUUUUGCCGACUUUACUGACACUGGCCAUAUUCAACCGGUGUUGAGUAAGUUCAUUAUUCUGCGCUCUGGUACACUCAGAUGAGAGUGCUCUGAAAUCGGUGUAGAUGGCCAGAGCGAAUUUAUGAAAGCACCCAAAUGUCCAUUGAGAACGCACAACAACUAUACCAUUUAGCUAAGCUAAGAAUGAUGGGAAUAAUCAAGUCAAUAAACGUUGGGUAGUCAGAUAGCCCAUAGUUAAUAUACUGGCAAGUUUAAUGUAUAACUACUAACAUUAGGUAGAUAGCUAACAUACCAGUACGUACUGCUGUAAUGAUGUGCUAUGUGGUUCGUAAGGACAGCGUAGCUAACAAAUUGUCAGCCAACAUAACGUGUAAGGUAACUUAUUUGAAAAGUCAUUACUUUAUUACAUUGAGUAGCAAGCUAUCCCUUGGUCAUUAGGGCAAAUCUGUUUUGUUUUUUCACACCGACCUCGGAAAUUAGACUAUUCUUUAGUAAAGGUUGCAUAGUCUAUUGUUCAGCUAUUAGCCCCCCUCCCCAACUUGCAACAAAUUGUUGUUGUUCCCAUCUCGUUCCUUUCCCUCUUCCACGCGUCAUCAUUCUGCGCCUGAGUGGCUCACUUCUGGGCGUGCUGGCAGGAUAUGGCAGCAUCUUCGGUCGUGAGUCAAGAAUUCUGCAUACAGUAGCAGGAAGUCAUAGCGGACACCUACGAAGAAGGACUAUGUGAUGAUGGAAUCUCAGGAGGAUGAAAGAACACAAUAUGUCUGUCACGAAGAGUUUUUGCAGCGUGGAGAGGGUGCAGAGAGCGAGCUGAUCAAGGGGUCAAAAAUGUAGAUAUUUCCAGAUGUUCACUGUCCGAGGAACAGGCCGUGGAAGCUUUACUGUGGCAAAAGUGUCCAUAACCAGAGGUUAUAUCAGCUGUAUUGAUGAACCCCUACCGCAUCUGAACUGGCUGACACAGAGGGCACAGCA